AUGGACAUGAGGGUCCCCGCUCAGCUCCUGGAGCUCCUUCUUCUCUGGCUCCCAGGUGCCAGGUGUGACAUCCAGAUGACCCAGUCUCCAACCUCCCUGUCUGCAUCUAUAGGAGAUAGUGUCACCAGCACUUGCCAGGCGAGUCAGAGCAUUAGCAAUGAGUUAGCCUGGUAUCAGCAGAAACCAGGGAAAGCGCCUAAGCUCCUGAUCUAUAGGGUAUCCAGUUUACAAAUGGGGAUCCCAUCUCGGUUCAGUGGCAGUGGAUCUGGGACAGAUUUCACUCUUACCAUCACCAGCCUGCAGCCUGAUGAUGUUGCAACUUACUACUGUCAACAGGAGUACAGUUACCCUCCCACGGUGUUACUACAAGUCAUAACAUAA